AUGUUGUAUCUUCGUAGGGGGGUUGUGUUAACCAAAGACAAUCUCGCACGACGCAACUGGCAAGGGAGUAAGAAGUGUUGUUUUUGUACUCAUGACGAGACAAUCCACCUCCUUUUCCAAUGCAAGGUUGCACAUUCUACGUGGUCAGUCAUUCAAAUAGCGUCAAAUCUGUAUCCGCCCAUAACUGUUGCCAAUAUUUUUAGACAUUGGUUGGACGGUAUUUCAAAUAGGUUCAAAACUCUAAUAAAGGUGGGAGCGUAUGCCUUAAUUUGGUCGCUUUGGCUAUGUAGAAAUGAUUUUGUUUUUAAUGGAAGAAAUGCUUCUCCUCUACAGGUUAUUUUCCGGUGUACGCAAUUGCUACGUAUGUGGUCUAUGUUACAACGACCGGAGGACCAACCGCUGUUCAAGGCGGUGUGUAUGUGA
rnacentral:rRNA from 1 species